rnacentral:rRNA from 1 species
UACAGAGGGGGCGAGCGUUGUUCGGAAUUACUGGGCGUAAAGGGCGCGUAGGCGGCCUCUUAAGUCGAACGUGAAAUCCCCGGGCUCAACCCGGGAACUGCGUCCGAUACUGGGGGGCUUGAAUCCGGGAGAGGGAUGUGGAAUUCCAGGUGUAGCGGUGAAAUGCGUAGAUAUCUGGAGGAACACCGGUGGCGAAGGCGGCAUCCUGGACCGGUAUUGACGCUGAGGAGCGAAAGCGUGGGGAGCGAACGGG